UUUCCGUAGGUGAACCUGCGGAAGGAUCAUUAACAAAAUCCAAUCUAACCCUGUCGAAUCGUUUGGUCAUGCUCGAGAAAAAGUCCUUUCUCAGUUUGACCUACCUUCCCUGUGGGAGAAGAAAUCCAGACAAUUGUGUUGAUGAUGGCCCUUAGAAGCUGCCAGCUCUAUAAUUAAUUGGAAUUUAAUCAUUUUCCCACAGGAAAGUAUAUAUAAUAAACUCUUAUUGACAAGAUUAAUAUUUUAAAAGAUAAACAACUUUUAACAAUGGAUCUCUUGGCUCUU
rnacentral:misc_RNA from 1 species